UACGAAGGGGGGCUAGCGUUGCUCGGAAUCACUGGGCGUAAAGCGCACGUAGGCGGCUUGUUAAGUCAGGGGUGAAAUCCUGGAGCUCAACUCCAGAACUGCCUUUGAUACUGAUGAGCUUGAGUUCGGGAGAGGUGAGUGGAACUGCGAGUGUAGAGGUGAAAUUCGUAGAUAUUCGCAAGAACACCAGUGGCGAAGGCGGCUCACUGGCCCGAUACUGACGCUGAGGUGCGAAAGCGUGGGGAGCAAACAGG
rnacentral:rRNA from 1 species